UGGUAUAGAAAUAUACAUAUUCCUAUACAAAUAGUUUCCAGGUGUGACGCUCCGGUUGGGUAAAGUGGGCGGGGUAUAUAAGCGGCCGCUGUGCCCAGUCAGACAUGUGUCUUUCUCACCAUCCACUGUGUGGCCCGCGUCUCUUGGGUUCCGGCGGUAAAAAAAGGCAACAUAUCGCCAAGUGUGGUGCAUGCUGCUUUGAUUCCCUGGUGGUGAAACGCUAUUGUGCUGCUCUCCUCUGCUUCCUCGUUCAGCGAGUGUGUGUGUGCGUUUUGCCUGGAUUGACAGGUCUCCCCAUAUUCGAACCAUUGCUGCUCUUUUGGAUCCCGGAUUUUGCACGUCAUCAGUCAAACUCGGACUGUGGUGGCGCCUACACGCCUUAAUUGAAGCGGUGUUUGGGGUGUGGCAUCGGCGCGCCGAGCUCGCCUCCUGCUGUGGCGUGACCAGAGCCACACCGGAUCUUAAUCUUCAACUUGGAUUUUCUAUUUUUUUCUUUAUUUAGUUUCCAGCCCUUCGG